GACGAACUGUUCUAACGUUAUUCGGAAUCACUGGGCUUAAAGGGCGCGUAGGCUGUUUGUUAAGCGGGGUCUGAAAUCCCUCGGCUCAACCGAGGAACUGGGCUUCGAACUGGCAGACUAGAGUGUGGUAGGGGAGACUGGAAUUCCUGGUGUAGCGGUGAAAUGCGCAGAUAUCAGGAGGAACACCGGUGGCGAAGGCGGAUCUCUGGGCCGAUACUGACGCUGAGGAGCGAAAGCGUGGGGAGCGAACAGGAUUAGAUACCCCGGUAGUCCCUGA
rnacentral:rRNA from 1 species